AAACAGUUGGGCGCACUAGUAACCGCGCGGCUAACGCUGACAAAGCGGUGGGUUGGGGAGGUAAAAGCCACGAGCGGCUGAACGCGAUCCGUGUGUAAAAAUGCCCUAUCAAUCAUGCUUAUUGUAUUCUGGUCGCGGGACAAUGAAUACCCUUGAAUGUCUAUGUCUUACCGACACACCCACUGCUAAUAGACCUUGAAACUGCGCGACCGUCGGGCGUCGUCUUCCCCAUAAUCAUGGAAUCCUCCCCGCUAACCCAACAAUCCAGACCAGACACCUUCCAGCCCAAGAUCGUCAAGCUUUACGAGACCCUAUUCCUUAACGCUGAGGAUGCAGAGCCGUCGGAAGGAUUCUGGAGAGAAUUCUUUCUUCUCCCUCCGCAGAGGGUUCGAUUGAGUCAGAUACUGGACGUUAUCAGUCCUGAUGACAUCUUGCAAAUUCAUUUUCACACUCAACAGCUGUUCUCCAAGGCCAUAAAAGAGGCUGCUGCUGGGGAAUCCCCAUCAAAUAUUUAUGCGCUAGAGGUGGCGUCUUAACUAAGAAGUACACCAACCCGAGUUCUGAUAUCAUCACCGUCCUCGCUGGCAUUGACGAAGUCGACCAUGUUAUCGCAAACUUUGUCGCGGCCCUGGACGGGAUCAUACGAAACGGAACCAGCUUUGAAAUACGUCUCAAAGCUGUUGAGGCUGCAAUAUCAAUGACUAGCGGAGGCUACAAAACAAGCCUUAUAUCUUAUUUCAUGCAUCGGGAUAUUUUCCCUGCCCUGAUGAAGUUUAUCCAUGAUUCAAACAUCCGCACUCAAAUCUUUGAGCCGUUUGUACUCCUGGGGCUUCUAUCAAACUACAACAAAUUCGAAUUCCAGAACCCUUACCAGCUACGACUUGAUGACUUUGUAAACGAAUCUACGAUUCAGAAAAUUGUCGGUGGAACUGGCGUAACAUGCACGGCAUUGCGCAACGGAUAUGUUGCCGUUCAGGAUGAUCUUCCUGAGGGCUGGAAUUUGAGCUCAACUUUAGCCUUCUUUGGCCUUGGGGCGUUAGCUCCUGGUCGCAGAGCUAAGACACCAUUGACUCCAGAAGAGGCUAAAGCACGAUUUGGAGCUCUUCCCUCUCCCGAAGCGACCAUAUUACUUGCCAUUUACGAUUUCAUCAACGCGAAUAAGCUGUUUGGCUUCAGUUUUGUCUCAUACAUGCCAGAGAAGCGCUCUGAAGAAUCCCCCUUUUCAAGUUUCCUCUCAUUUACAUCAUAUUUACUACAACAUGCAUAUCGAUCGACCAGGGUCACACUCUAUGCAGAGACCAAUCUGUUCUCACUUCGCAUACUCGUGGAAGAGUCCCUGCUAUGUAAACAGAUCUGUAGCGAGGAG
rnacentral:sRNA from 1 species